GACGAACGCUGGCGGCGUGCUUAACACAUGCAAGUCGAACGGAAAGGCCCUGCUUUUGUGGGGUGCUCGAGUGGCGAACGGGUGAGUAACACGUGAGUAACCUGCCCUUGACUUUGGGAUAACUUCAGGAAACUGGGGCUAAUACCGGAUAGGAGCUCCUGCUGCAUGGUGGGGGUUGGAAAGUUUCGGCGGUUGGGGAUGGACUCGCGGCUUAUCAGCUUGUUGGUGGGGUAGUGGCUUACCAAGGCUUUGACGGGUAGCAGGCCUGAGAGGGUGACCGGCCACAUUGGGACUGAGAUACGGCCCAGACUCCUACGGGAGGCAGCAGUGGGGAAUAUUGCGCAAUGGGCGGAAGCCUGAUGCAGCAGCGCCGCGUGCGGGAUGACGGCCUUCGGGUUGUAAACCGCUUUCGCCUGUGACGAAGCGUGAGUGACGGUAAUGGGUAAAGAAGCACCGGCUAACUACGUG
rnacentral:rRNA from 1 species